UGGAUAUCACUGUCACCUACACAGGACAGUCAUUACCUUUCUAUUAAUACUUUGUUUUUUAAUUUCACAUUAAUUUCCAUAUUGUAUAAACAACUGGAAAAAACUUGAGCCCCUGCCCCUGUAUAAUCAUGUGCACGUCUCUGUUCUAGCUCUAAGGUGAAUCUUCACUGCUCAUGUUCUCCUCAGAAGCAGUCACCUCACUCCCCUCAGGUUACUGUACACAUGCACCAACUGCCUGCUUCAGGUUUGGAUGGAGCUUCAUGGUUGUCUUUUGGAGAAAUGACCAGUCAAGUUGUGUUUGAAAUUUGAUUUUUUUCAGGGGCAAAAGGAGCCUCUGCAUUCUUGUCAAAUAUGUAAAUAGCAUGUUUUUGCAGGUGCUAAAAACCAGACUCUGAGUGUGUGUGUGUGCGUGUGUUUGUGUGUGUGUGUGUGUGUGUGUGUGUGUGUGUGUGUGUGCGUUCAAGUCACAUGACAUAUUUAACCGGAUGUAGCUGCAAGACGGAGCCUCGUUGACUCUCCGUUUCAAUUUAUCUCAAAAGUGAGGACCUCAACCUAUAUACCAGUUUUUAAAUUGUGUUGAUAGGCCAAAUAAAACCAGAGUUAUGAUAAAUUAUGUCCACGAUACUUGUUUUCUGCUUAUUUUGAUCACGUUCGGCGCUCGAUCGCGCUGUAUGAGACAGGAAAACAUAGCAUGCAGACAUUAGCGACAGGUCUUACAGGCGGAAAAGGCUUGCCAAAGGAAAAAAAAACACACCACAACAUCUCUCCUAUUGGUGGAAAACUUCACCACAACAACCAAUCCAAAAUUAUAUGGUGACUGAUUGACAAGGGGCGGGAACUUACGUUCUUCCUGCAAUAUGAGAAGGGAGGGAGGGACUCUCAGCAGGGAUGCAGUCUGGGACACGUAGUUGCAAACCUAGCGACUUUGUUGUUAGAUUCAAUGACUUUUCAGACCCCCUAACGACUUUUUUUUAGAAAGAAAGUGACUUUUAUCGACUUCUUCUGGAGUUUAGAGACUCUGACAUGAAGCAGGCUUUCCUUACUGAGGAGUUAGCAACGCUGCUAAGGGUGCAGAGCCACACAUGCGCUCCGAGCUCUGCAUGGGAGACUGAAGCUGACAGAGCUGCAGCAGUUAGCAGGUUUCACCUUCAGAGACCACCAGGGGUUCAUGUUGAGGCAUUUUAAUUUUUUUUUUUUUUUUGCCAUAGACACUGUCAGCACAAUCUGCAGUUACACUAACAAAAAUGCUGCAAAAAACAAAGAAUUAUGGAAAAAUUACACAUGGACUAACAUAGAGGAGGAUCUACACAAGUUUUUUACAUCAUGUUUUACAUCAUGCAUCAUUUACAUCAUGUUUUUUUGUAGUGGCAUAAAUAAAAAGUGACAUUUGUGAGACUAUACAGUGUUUUGUAAAUAAUUUUACAAAGAACACCUGGGCCAUUGCCUGCAUUUUGAUGUCAAUAGAGGUAAAUUACUAUGUUCUUUGUUAAAAAUUUGCAUAUGUUUUGAAGUUUACAAUUUUUAUUUGAAGUUUAAGUUUUAAAAACAGUUCAUCACACAUAUUUGUGGUUUUCACAGUAAAAACGUUACUUUUUUCCACUCGGAUUUUAUGUUUUGUGUGUGAAUUUGGGUCCAAUGUGUAAAUAUAGUAUGUCAAAAUGAUAAAAUAACUGUAAAUUGACACAGGUGAGGUUGUGCUGAAAAAAAUGAUACCAGGCAAGGCAAGGUAAAAAUUUUGUAAGAGGAAAUAUAAAGGUAAAAUCUAAAGUAGUCAAAAACGGCCAAUAGUGACUCACAGACUCCACAGACAAGUCCCUUUGCCGCCACUCAGUGGGCAAAACUACUUUGUCUACUGUAAUGUAUAUUUGGGUCAUCUUUGGCGCCCCCUAAAACGUAAACCGUGGGGUGCAGCGUCAUGAUUUUUACAACUUUGAAUGGCCAUGGAGUGUAGAUUGGCCUGAGCAAAUUUGGUGUCAGUGGGACGAAAGCCUUAGGAGGAGUUAGCGAAAUUCCAAUGUGUGCGAAUCGGCAAAAAAUGCAAAAUAGCCCUUUUACCGUACAUUAUACAGAUACGCGCUCUUUGACUUUUUCGUAGAUCUAAUUGAGAUACACAUGAUUGUCAAUUUUUGUGUCAUUUUGCCAAAGCGUACAGGCGUGACAGUCAACAAUGUGUAUUUUCACCUUAGGGGACAAGAAAAAAUGGACUUUUUUCUCCUGCCAUGGGGGGCGCUCUUUUGGGGAGUAAAAAUUCCUUCACAAAUGUGUUGAUGGCUGGACAUUGCAUCAUCCUAGAAAACUUGGAGGCCAGUGAGGACAAAAAUAAAAAGUUAUAAGACUUUUAAAAAUGUGGAUUUUUGGGUUAUCUUUGGCGCCCCCUAGAACGUAAACCGUGGGGUGCAGCGUCAUGAUUUGAAUAACUUUUAAUGGCCAUGGGGUGUAAUUUGGCCUGAGCAAAUGUGGUGCCGGUGGAACGAAAGCCUUCGGAGGAGUUAGCGAAAUUCCAAUGUGUGCGAAUCGGCAAAAAAUGCGGAAUAACCCUUUAACCGUACAUUAGACAGAUACGCGCGCAUUGACUUUUUUGUAGAUCUUAUUGAGAUACAUGUGUGUGUCAAUUUUUGUGUCAUUUUGACAAAGCGUACAGGCGUGACACUCAACAAUGUGUAUUUUCACCUUAGGGGACAAGAAAAAAAUGGACUUUUUUCUCCUGCCAUGGGGGGGCGCUCUUUUGGGGAGUAAAAAUUCCUUCACAAAUGUGUUGAUGGCUGGACAUUGCAUCAUCCUAGAAAACUUGGAGGCCAGUGAGGGCAAAAAUAAAAAGUUAUAAGACUUUUAAAAAUGUGGAUUUUAGGGUUAUCUUUGGCGCCCCCUAGAACCUAAACCGUGGGGUGCAGCGUCAUGAUUUGAAUAACUUUUAAUGGCCAUGGGGUGUAGAUUGGCCUGAGCAAAUGUGGUGCCGGUGGAACGAAAGCCUUCGGAGGAGUUAGCCACAUUCCAAUGUGUGCGUAUCGGCAAAAAAUGCGGAAUAACCCUUUAACCGUACAUUUGACAGAUACGCGCUCAUAGACUUUUUUGUAGAUCUUAUAGAGAUACAUGUGUGUGUAAAUUUUUGUGUCAUUUUGCCAAAGCGUAAAGGCGUGACACUCAACAAUGUGUAUUUUCACCUUAGGGGACAAGAAAAAAUGGACUUUUUUCUCCUGCCAUGGGGGGGCGCUCUUUUGGGGAGUAAAAAUUCCUUCACAAAUGUGUUGAUGGCUGGACAUUGCAUCAUCCUAGAAAACUUGGAGGCCAGUGAGGACAAAAAUAAAAAGUUAUAAGACUUUUAAAUAUGUGGAUUUUAGGGUUAUUUUUGGCGCCCCCUAGAACCUAAACCGUGGGGUGCAGCGUCAUGAUUUGAAUAACUUUUAAUGGCCAUGGGGUGUAGAUUGGCCUGAGCAAAUGUGGUGCCGGUGGAACGAAAGCCUUCGGAGGAGUUAGCGAAAUUCCAAUGUGUGCAGAUCUGCAAAAAAUGCAAAAUAACCCAUUAACCGUACAUUUGACAGAUACGCCCGCACUGACUUUUUUGUAGAUCUUAUUGAGAUACAUGUGUGUGUCAAUUUUUGUGUCAAUAUGACAAAGCGUACAGCCGUCAUGUGAAUUUUCACCUUAGGGGGCGCUAUGGAGCCAUUUUGCAUUUUCUUGUUUGGGCGACUUCGGAAUAUCAAAUUUUUCACCAGGCCCGGUCGUCCUGCCAAAUUUCCUGAGUUUUCGCCAGUGGGAAGUGGGCCAUUUUCCAGUUCAAAGGGGAGGAAAAAGAAAAAACUAGGGCCCCGUUGGGGCACUGGCGGGCCCGAGCCGUGUCGCGCCGCCCCCAGCGCGACCGCCUACCCCUCCCGAUCGCGUCACACUCAAGGUCCAAAGAUGGUGUGCGCACUUGUCUGUGGUCAUUUACCAUUAUAAUGAAUGGGAGGCGCAGUUUCUACCAAAACGCUCGCUGCAGACAAACUCCAUGUCCUUUUUGAAAAAAGUCUGGACCAUGAGUGAGGGCACAAACACAGCUAUGAUAUAUCCAAAUGGCAAGGUGCUCCUCCUUUCGGUUUUGCCGAGAGAGCGAUGCGUUUGAGCCAUUGAGCGAUGGGCAGGAAAAACUUGACUUUUUCUCCUGCCAUGGGAGGGCGCUCUUUUGGGGAGAAAAAAUUCCUUCACAAAUGUGUUGAUGACUGAACAUUGCAUCAUCCUAGAAAACUUGGAGGCCAGUGAGGACAAAAAUAAAGUUAUAAGACUUUUAAAAAUGUGGAUAUUUGGGUCCUCUUUGGCGCCCCCUAGAACGUAAACCGUGGGGUGCAGCGUCAUGAUAUUUACAACUUUGAAUGGCCAUGGGGUUUAGAUUGGCCUGAGCAAAUUUGGUGUCAGUGGGACGAAAGCCUUAGGAGGAGUUAGCCACAUUCCAAUGUGUGCGAAUCGGCAAAAAAUGCGAAAUAGCCCUUUAACCGUACAUUUUACAGAUACGUGCACAUUGACUUUUUCGUAGAUCUUAUUGAGAUACACGUGAUUGCCAAAUUUUGUGUCAAUAUGACAAAGCGUACAGGCGUGACACUCAACAAUGUGUAUAUUCGCCUUAGGGGACAAGAAAAAAAUGGACUUUUUUCUCCUGCCAUGGGGGGGCGCUCUUUUGGCGAGUAAAAAUUCCUUCACAAAUGUGUUAAUUGCUGGACAUUGCAUCAUCCUAGAGAACUUGGAGGCCAGUGAGGACAAAAAUAAAAAGUUAUAAGACUUUUAAGAAUGUGGAUUUUUGGGUUAUCUUUGGCGCCCCCUAGAACCUAAACCGUGGGGUGCAGCGUCAUGAUUUGUACAACUUUUAAUGGCCAUGGGGUGUAGAUUGGCCUGAGCAAAUUUGGUGCCGGUGGAACGAAAGCCUUCGGAGGAGUUAGCGAAAUUCCAAUGUGUGCGGAUCGGUAAAAAAUGCGAAAUAACCCUUUAACCGUACAUUUGACAGAUACGCCCACACUGACUUUUUUGUAGAUCGUAUUGAGAUACAUGUGUGUGUCAAUUUUUGUGUCAAUAUGACAAAGCGUACAGGCGUGACAGUCAAUAGUGUGAAUUUUCACCUUAGGGGGCGCUAUGGAGCCAUUUUGCAUUUUAUUGUUUGGGCGACUUCAGAAUAUCGAAUUUUUCACCAGGCCCGGUCAUCCUGCCAAAUGUCAUGAGUUUUCGCCAGUGGGAAGUGGGCCAUUUUCCCCUUCAAAGGGGAGGAAAAAUAAGAAGAACUAGGGCCCCGUUGGGGCACUGGCGGGCCCGAGCCGUGUCGCGCCGCCCCCAACACGACCGCCUCUCCCUACCGAUCGCGUCACACUCAAGGUCCAAAGAUGGUGUGCGCACUUGUCUGUGGUCAUUUACAAUUAUAAUGAAUGGGAGGCGCAGUUUCUACCAAAACGCUCGCCGCAGACAAACUACGUGUCCUAUUUGAAAAGGACUGGACCAUGAGUGAGGGCACAAACACAGCUAGGAUAUAUCCAAAUGGCAAGUUGCUCCUCCUUUCGGUUUUGCCGAGAGAGCGAUGUGUUUGAGUCAUUGAGCGAUGGGCAGGAAAAACUUGACUUUUUCUCCUGCCAUGGGGGGGCGCUCUUUUAGGGAGUAAAAAUUCCUUCACAAAUGUGUUGAUGGCUAGACAUUGCAUCAUCCUAGAAAACUUGGAGGCCAGUGAGGACAAAAAUAAAAAGUUAUAAGACUUUUAAGAAUGUGGAUUUUUGGGUUAUCUUUGGCGCCCCCUAGAACAUAAACCGUGGGGUGCAGCGUCAUGAUUUUUACAACUUUGAAUGGCCAUGGAAUGUAGAUUGGCCUGAGUAAAUUUGGUGUCAGUGGAACGAAAUAUUUAGGAGGAGUUAGCCACAUUCCAAUGUGUGCGAAUCGACCAAAAAUGCGAAAUAGCCCUUUAACCGUACAUUUUACAGAUACGCGCCCAUUGACUAUUUCGUAGAUCUUAUUGAGAAACACGUGAUUGUCAAAGUUUGUUACAAUAUGACAAAGCGUACAGGCGUGACACUCAAUAAUGUGAAUUUUCACCUUAGGGGGAAGAAAAACUGGACUUUUUUCUCCUGCCAUGGGGGGGCGCUCUUUUGGGGAGUAAAAAUUCCUUCACAAAUGUGUUGAUGGCUAGACAUUGCAUCAUCCUAGAAAACUUGGAGGCCAGUGAGGACAAAAAUAAAAAGUUAUACGACUUUUAAGAAUGUGGAUUUCUGGGUUAUCUUUGGCGCCCCCUAGAACGUAAACCGUGGGAUGCAGCAUCAUGAUUUGUACAACUUUUAAUGGCCAUGGGGUGUAGAUUGGCCUGAGCAAAUUUGGUGCCGGUGGAACGAAAGCCUUCGGAGGAGUUAGCGAAAUUCCAAUGUGUGCGGAUCGGCAAAAAAUGCGAAAUAGCCCUUUAACCGUACAUUUGACAGAUACGCCCGGACUGACUUUUUUGUAGAUCUUAUUGAGAUACACGUGUGUGUCAAAUUUUGUGUCAUUUUGACAAAGCGUACAGGCGUGACACUCAAUCAUGUGAAUUUUUCACCUUAGGGGGCGCUAUGGAGCCAUUUUGCAUUUGAUUUUUUGGGCGACUUCAGAAUAUCGAAUUUUUCACCAGGCCCGGUCGUCCUGCCAAAUUUCAUGACUUUUCACCAGUGGGAAGUGGGCCAUUUUCCAGUUCAAAGGGGCAGAAAAAUAAUAACUAGGACCCCGUUGGGGCACUGGCGGGCCCGAGCCGUGUCGCGUCCCCCCCCCCCAAACGUGCUGCCUCCCCGUCCCAUUUGUGUCCUCUGGCCAUCGCCCUCUCUGGUAACGCCCAUCACUGCAAAGACCCUUUUCCUUCAUCGGCGUUUGCUGUUCUUCUUGCCAGUGCGUGUUGCUUUCACUUACACUUGCCACAGCCAGCCUCGUGAGUGCCUAGCCUAUUGGAUAUCACUGUCACUUACACAGGACAGUCAUUACCUUUCUAUUAAUACUUUGUGUUUUAAUUUCACAUUAAUUUCCAUAUUGUAUAAACGACUGGAAAAAACUUGAGCCCCUGCCCCUGUAUAAUCAUGUGCAUGUCUCUGUUCUAGCUCCAAGGUGAAUCUUCACAGCUCAUGUUCUCCUCAGAAGCACUCACCUCACUCCCCUCAGGUUACUGUACACAUGCACCAACUACCUGCUUCAGGUUUGGAUGGAGCUUCAUGGUUG